rnacentral:tRNA from 2 species
GGGGCAUUGGCGCAGUUGGUAGCGCGACUCGUUCGCAUCGAGUAGGUCAGGGGUUCGAUUCCCCUAUGCUCCACAA